UGACGACCACAUGCUUACCUCAGCCAUGC
rnacentral:piRNA from 1 species